CGGGGUAUAGCGCAGUUGGCUAGCGCGCUUGGUUUGGGACCAAGAGGCCACAGGUUCGAAUCCUGUUACCCCGACCA
rnacentral:tRNA from 1 species